rnacentral:rRNA from 1 species
AGGCUGCAGUGGGGAAUUUUGGACAAUGGGCGCAAGCCUGAUCCAGCAAUACCGCGUGCAGGAAGAAGGCCUUCGGGUUGUAAACUGCUUUUGUACGGAACGAAAAGGCUCUUUUUAAUAAAGAGGGCUCAUGACGGUACCGUAAGAAUAAGCACCGGCUAACUACGUGCCAGCAGCCGCGGUAAUACGUAGGGUGCGAGCGUUAAUCGGAAUUACUGGGCGUAAAGCGUGCGCAGGCGGUUUUGUAAGACAGACGUGAAAUCCCCGGGCUCAACCUGGGAAUUGCGUUUGUGACUGCAAGGCUAGAGUACGGUAGAGGGGGGUAGAAUUCCGCGUGUAGCAGUGAAAUGCGUAGAUAUGCGGAGGAACACCGAUGGCGAAGGCAGCCCCCUGGACCUGUACUGACGCUCAUGCACGAAAGCGUGGGGAGCAAACAGGAUUAGAUACCCUUGUAGUC